GAGGAAGGCUGCCUCCAGGCCUGCUGGCUCUCUGGGCCAUGCUUAGGCUGGCAGCUGGUUGACAGCUCCAGGAGCCAGUGAGCCAGUCCGGAGCCACGGCCACAGAGGCAGGCACAAAUUGCCUGGGGGCCCAAAGAGGAUGUUGGGCCCAAAUCUGAUCCAUGUGUGAGCCAGCUGAACUCAGGAGCGUUCCCAGGGAAGUGACGUUCCACAGCACCCCCGCAUCCCCCCAGCCUUGAGCCUCCCUGCUUGACACACUCAACUGGGGGCCACAGAGCAAAUUCCAAGACAGAGUUUCAAGAAUGAUGAUUCAGAGGCUCACAGAGGACAUUUAUGGUCCAAGGUCCAAACUGCCUGUGGACCUUCCCAGGGGCUCCUGUGUUUUCCCAGCUACUUCACGGGGCCAAACCCUCACAGACAACCUUGGCUCAGGGCUGACUGCUGCUCAACUUGACCCAUGGAAUCCAGCUGUGCUCUUUCUCGCUUCCUCAUUCCUUCUGCUCUGGGAGCUCCAGCCUCAGGUGUGAGGCCCAUUUGGGACCAGCUGACAUUUACCCUUCAAGGAGCCUAUGGAAACACACGUAUCCUAGCUCUCUAUGCCAGCACCCGUGGCAGACAUUACUAAUCUAUUCUGGAUUCUCUGAUCUAUGCUGGCACCCAUACAGAUAUUAUUGAUUAAUCCUGAGAUUCUCUGACUACCCAAUAUAUGUG